rnacentral:rRNA from 1 species
AGUGAGAGGAGUCAUCCGCUAUGAGAUGGACCCGCUGUCGCAUUAGCUAGUUGGUGAGGUAACGGCUCACCAAGGCGACGAUGCGUAGCCGACCUGAGAGGGUGAUCGGCCACAUUGGAACUGAGACACGGUCCAGACUCCUACGGGAGGCAGCAGUGGGGAAUAUUGCACAAUGGGGGAAACCCUGAUGCAGCAACGCCGCGUGAGUGAUGAAGGUCUUCGGAUUGUAAAACUCUGUCUUUGGGGACGAUAAUGACGGUACCCAAGGAGGAAGCCACGGCUAACUACGUGCCAGCAGCCGCGGUAAUACGUAGGUGGCAAGCGUUGUCCGGAUUUACUGGGCGUAAAGGGAGCGUAGGUGGAUAUUUAAGUGGGAUGUGAAAUACUCGGGCUCAACCUGAGUGCUGUAUUCCAAACUGGAUAUCUAGAGUGCAGGAGAGGAAAGUAGAAUUCCUAGUGUAGCGGUGAAAUGCGUAGAGAUUAGGAAGAAUACCAGUGGCGAAGGCGACUUUCUGGACUGUAACUGACACUGAGGCUCGAAAGCGUGGGGAGCAAACAGGAUUAGAUACCCUGGUAGUCCACGCCGUAAAACAUGAAUACUAGGUGUGGGGGUUGUCAUGACCUCCGUGCCGCCGCUAACGCAUUAAGUAUUCCGCCUGGGGAGUACGGUCGCAAGAUUAAAACUCAAAGGAAUUGACGG